rnacentral:misc_RNA from 1 species
CCAAUAGCGUAUAUUAAAGUUGUUGCAGUUAAAAAGCUCGUAGUUGAAUUUCGGGAUCAGUAGGUCGGUCGUGCCACUGGUAUGAACUGGUCUCACUGGUUCCUCCCUCUUGACGAACUGCAAUGCUAUUAAUUCAGUGUUGUAGGAAAUCAGGACUGUUACUUUGAAAAAAUUAGAGUGUUUAAAGCAGGCUUUGGCUUGAAUACAUUAGCAUGGAAUAAUGAAAUAGGACGUUCGAUCCUAUUUUGUUGGCUUCUAGGAUUGACGUAAUGAUUAAUAGGGACAGUUGGGGGCAUUAGUAUUCAAUUGUCAGAGGUGAAAUUCUUGGAUUUAUUGAAGACUAACUACUGCGAAAGCAUUUGCCAAGGAUGUUUUCAUUAAUCAAGAACGAAAGUUAGGGGAUCGAAGACGAUCAGAUACCGUCGUAGUCUUAACCAUAAACUAUGCCGACUAGGGAUCGGAUGAUGUUAAUUUUUUAAUGACUCAUUCGGCGCCUUACA